UACGUAGGGGGCAAGCGUUGUCCGGAUUUAUUGGGCGUAAAGAGCGUGUAGGCGGCCAGGUAGGUCCGUUGUGAAAACUCGAGGCUCAACCUCGAGACGUCGGCGGAAACCCUCUGGCUAGAGUCCGGAAGAGGAGAGUGGAAUUCCUGGUGUAGCGGUGAAAUGCGCAGAUAUCAGGAGGAACACCGGUGGCGAAGGCAGCUCGCUGGGACGGUACUGACGCUGAGGCGCGAAAGCGUGGGGAGCAAACAGG
rnacentral:rRNA from 1 species